UAGUAAAGGUGAAGCCCACGAGGUAGCAAUACCAUCCUGCUCAGGUGCUGCAUGGCUGCUCCUCAGCUCGAUGCCGUGAGGUGUUGGGUUAAGUCCCGCAACGAGCGCAACCCCUGUCUUCAGUUACCAACGGGUCAUGCCGGGAACUCUGGAGAGACUGCCCAGGAGAACGGGGAGGAAGGUGGGGAUGACGUCAAGUCAGCAUGGCCUUUAUGCCUGGGGCUACACACGUGCUACAAUGGCCGGUACAAAGCGCUGCAAACCCGUAAGGGGGAGCCAAUCGCAAAAAACCGGCCUCAGUUCAGAUUGAGGUCUGCAACUCGACCUCAUGAAGGCGGAAUCGCUAGUAAUCCCGGAUCAGCACGCCGGGGUGAAUACGUUCCCGGGCCUUGUACACAC
rnacentral:rRNA from 1 species